rnacentral:tRNA from 14 species
AGUCCCGUGGUGAAGAUCACAUCAGAUUGCAAACCUGAAGACGCGGGCUCGUCGCCUGCCGGGACUU